rnacentral:rRNA from 1 species
CGGACCAAGGAGUGCAACAGUCGCGNGAGNAGUUCGGGUGAGGAAACCCGUGCCGAAGCGUAAUGAAGGUGAAGGCGGGANGUGUGNCCCGCCGAGGCGAGAGCCGUUCGCGCGGNGCAUNGUCGACCGAUCNGNUGCCACGCCGUGGCGGGAUUCGAGUGAGAGCGUUGCUGUUGCGACCCGAAAGAUGGUGAACUAUGCCUGAGUAGGGCGAAGCCAGAGGAAACUCUGGUGGAAGCCCGCAGCGGUUUCUGACGUGCAAAUCGAUCGUCAAACUUGGGUAUAGGGGCGAAAGACUAAUCGAACCAUCUAGUAGCUGGUUCCCUCCGAAGUUUCCCUCAGGAUAGCUGGAGCCCGUUGAGCAGUUUUAUCAGGUAAAGCGAAUGAUUAGAGGUCUUGGGGUCGAAACGGCCUCAACCUAUUCUCAAACUUUAAAUGGGUAAGACGUCCGGCUUGCUCAAGCGAAGUCGGGCCACGAAUGCCCGGGCUCCCAGUGGGCCAUUUUUGGUAAGCAGAACUGGCGAUGCGGGAUGAACCGAACGCCGGGUUAAGGUGCCCGAAUCGACGCUCAUCAGAUCCCAUGAAAGGUGUUGGUU